rnacentral:rRNA from 1 species
CAAAGGAGGCGACUCCGGUGACGGAUGGGCAUGCGGCGCAUUAGGUAGUUGGUAGGGUAACGGCCUACCAAGCCGACGAUGCGUAGGGGUUCUGAGAGGAAGGUCCCCCACAUUGGAACUGAGACACGGUCCAAACUCCUACGGGAGGCAGCAGUGAGGAAUAUUGGUCAAUGGCCGGAAGGCUGAACCAGCCAAGUCGCGUGAGGGAAUAAGGCCCUAUGGGUCGUAAACCUCUUUUGUCAGGGAGCAAAGGCGUCCACGUGUGGACGAGAGGAGAGUACCUGAAGAAAAAGCAUCGGCUAACUCCGUGCCAGCAGCCGCGGUAAUACGGAGGAUGCGAGCGUUAUCCGGAUUUAUUGGGUUUAAAGGGUGCGUAGGCGGAGUGUCAAGUCAGCGGUAAAAUUUCGGGGCUCAACCCCGUCGUGCCGUUGAAACUGACACCCUUGAGUGAGUGAGAAGUAAGCGGAAUGCGUGGUGUAGCGGUGAAAUGCAUAGAUAUCACGCAGAACGCCGAUUGCGAAGGCAGCUUACCGGCGCUCAACUGACGCUGAGGCACGAAAGUGCGGGUAUCGAACAGGAUUAGAUACCCUGGUAGUCCGCACAGUAAACGAUGAAUGCUAGAUGUCCGGGGCGAAUGAGCUUUGG